rnacentral:rRNA from 1 species
UACGUAGGGUGCGAGCGUUGUCCGGAAUUACUGGGCGUAAAGAGCUCGUAGGUGGUUUGUCGCGUUGUUCGUGAAAACUCACAGCUUAACUGUGGGCGUGCGGGGCGAUACGGGGCAGACUGGAGUACUGCAGGGGGAGACUGGAAUUCCUGGUGUAGCGGUGGAAUGCGCAGAUAUCAGGAGGAACACCGGUGGCGAAGG